GACGAACGCUGGCGGCAUGCCUAAUACAUGCAAGUCGAGCGAACAGAUGAAGUGCUUGCACUUCUGACGUUAGCGGCGAACGGGUGAGUAACACGUAAGGAAUCUACCUAUAAGCGGGGGAUAACAUUCGGAAACGGGUGCUAAUACCGCAUAAUAUCUUCUUCCGCAUGGAGGAAGAUUGAAAGACGGCUCUGCUGUCACUUAUAGAUGACCUUGCGGUGCAUUAGUUAGUUGGUGGGGUAAUGGCCUACCAAGACGAUGAUGCAUAGCCGACCGGAGAGGGUGAUCGGCCACAUUGGGACUGGGACACGGCCCAAACUCCUACGGGAGGCAGCAGUAGGGAAUCUUCCGCAAUGGGCGAAAGCCUGACGGAGCAAUGCCGCGUGAGUGAAGAAGGCCUUCGGGUCGUAAAACUCUGUUAUAAGAGAAGAACAAAUUGUAGAGUAACUGCUACAGUCUUGACAGUAUCUUAUCAGAAAGCCACGGCUAACUACGUGCCAGCCGCCGCAGUAA
rnacentral:rRNA from 1 species